GACGAACGCUGGCGGCGUGCUUAACACAUGCAAGUCGAGCGAAGAGCGAUGGACCCUUCCUUCUAUCAAUCUUAGUGGCGAACGGGUGAGUAACGCGUAAUCAACCUGCCCUUCAGAGGGGUACAACAGUUGGAAACGACUUCUAAUACCGCAUACUAUCUAAUCUCGGCAUCGAAUAUAGAUUAAAGGUGUCCUCUACAUGUAAGCUAUCAUUGAAGGCGAGUAUUGAGUCUGAUUAGCUAGUUGGAUGGUUAACCGCCCACCAAGGCGAUGAUCAGUAGUCGGUCUGAGAGGAGGAACGGCCACAUUGGGACUUAGACACCGCCCAGACUUCCAAGGGAGGCAGCAGUGGGGAAUCUUCCGCCAUGGGCGAAAGUCUGACGGAGCAACGCCGCGUGAGUGAUGCCGGCCGUCGGGUUGUAAAGCUCUGUUAAUCGGGGAGAAACGCCUUCUUGCGAAUAGUGAGAAGGAUUGACGGUACCGGAAUAGAAAGCCACGGCUAACUACGUG
rnacentral:rRNA from 1 species